rnacentral:rRNA from 1 species
AUAUUACUAAGCGGAGGAAAAGAAAUUAACAAAGAUUGCCUUAGUAAGGGCGACUGAACCGGCAAGAGCUCAAAAUUGGAAUCGGAAAUUCAAUGAAUUUUCGAAUUGUAAUCAGGUCCGCCUAAAUACGAGAGUUCGUUUAAGUACGUCGAAACGUGCGCCAGGGAGGGUGAAAGCCCCGUGUAGCGUUCUCUCGAGUAAGGAGGAUCCCACAAGAGUCGGGUUGCUUGGAACUGCAGCCCUAAGCGGGAGAUAUGAAUCUUCCAAAGCUAAAUAUGGAUGGGAGACCGAUAGCGAACAAGUACUGUGAAGGAAAGAUGAAAAGGACUUUGAAAAGAGAGUGAAAAGAUCUGAAAUCGUUGAGAAGGAAGCGGUAGAAACUGAUGGUCGUGCUGAUAGAUAUCGCGGUGUACAACUGCGUAGUUCUUACCAGAGCGACGGGCAAGAUGAAGUCGAAAGCGUCAAAAAAGGCUUUGCCGUGAAGGGCGUGAUCGGCUUGAGGGACUAUUGUGAUCUUGCCAAAAUGGUUUUUUCCGU